rnacentral:rRNA from 1 species
GUGGAGCCUGCGGCUUAAUUUGACUCAACACGGGAAACCUCACCAGGCCCGGACACCAGAAGGAUUGACAGAUUAAGAGCUCUUUCUCGAUUUGGUGGGUGGUGGUGCAUGGCCGUUCUUAGUUGGUGGAGUGAUUUGUCUGGUUAAUUCCGGUAACGAACGAGACUCUGGCCUACUAAAUAGUCGACGGGCGCUUCAGUGCAUGGGCCCCGUUCGACACAGUCUUCUUAGAGGGAUGAGCAGCGAGUAUAGCUGCAGGAGAUUGAGCAAUAACAGGUCUGUGAUGCCCUUAGAUGUCCUGGGCCGCACGCGCGCUACACUGAAUGGGUUAGCGGGUUGUCCUUCUCCGAGAGGAGCGGGAAAUCGCGUCAAAACCAUUCGUGAUAGGGAUUGGGGCUUGCAAUUGUUUCCCAUGAACGAGGAAUUCCCAGUAAGCGCAAGUCAUCAGCUUGCGUUGAUUAAGUCCCUGCCCUUUGUACACACCGCCCGUCGCUACUACCGAUUGAAUGAUUUAGUGAGGCCUUCGGACUGGCGGUCUUGGACUGGGACGCCGGCUGUCUCCCAGCAAUGGGGUGCCGGCGUCUCGCCUCGACGGGCCGGAAAGAUGUCCAAACUUGAUCAUUUAGAGGAAGUAAAAGUCGUAACAAGGUUUCC